rnacentral:rRNA from 1 species
UACAGAGACUGCAAGCGUUAUUCGGAUUCACUGGGCGUAAAGGGUGCGCAGGCGGCCGUGUGUGUGAGGCGUGAAAGCCCGGGGCUCAACCCCGGAAUUGCACCUCAAACUAUAUGGCUAGAGCAUUGGAGAGGGUAGCGGAAUUCACGGUGUAGCAGUGAAAUGCGUAGAUAUCGUGAGGAACACCAGAGGCGAAGGCGGCUACCUGGACAAUUGCUGACGCUCAGGCACGAAAGCGUGGGGAGCAAAAGGG